GAGGGGCCCGCGUCGGAUUAGCUGGUUGGUGGGGUAACGGCCUACCAAGGCGAUGAUCCGUAGCUGGUCUGAGAGGAUGAUCAGCCACACUGGGACUGAGACACGGCCCAGACUCCUACGGGAGGCAGCAGUGGGGAAUAUUGGACAAUGGGCGCAAGCCUGAUCCAGCAAUGCCGCGUGAGUGAGGAAGGCCUUAGGGUUGUAAAGCUCUUUCGGCGGGGACGAUGAUGACGGUACCCGCAGAAGAAGCCCCGGCUAACUUCGUGCCAGCAGCCGCGGUAAUACGAAGGGGGCGAGCGUUGUUCGGAUUUACUGGGCGUAAAGGGCGCGCAGGCGGCCGGCUUUGUCGAGUGUGAAAGCCCCGGGCUUAACCUGGGAACUGCGCUCGAAACGGGCUGGCUAGAGAUCGGGAGAGGAGAGUGGAAUUCCCAGUGUAGAGGUGAAAUUCGUAGAUAUUGGGAAG
rnacentral:rRNA from 2 species